rnacentral:rRNA from 1 species
UUUAGAGUUUGAUCCAUGGCUCAGAUUGAACGCUGGCGGUAUGCUUAAGACAUGCAAGUCGUGCGGUAGAAGGCUUCGGCCUUUGAGAGCGGCGGACGGGUGAGUAACACGUGGGAAUCUGCCUAUUAGUGGGGGACAGCCCAGCGAAAGCUGGAUUAAUACCGCAUACGCCCUACGGGGGAAAGCAGCAAUGCGCUAAUAGAUGAGCCCGCGCAAGAUUAGCUAGUUGGUAAGGUAAAGGCUUACCGGGGCGGCGAUCCUUAGCUGGUCUGAGAGGAUGGCCAGCCACAUCGGGACUGAGACACGGCCCGGACUCCUACGGGAGGCAGCANUCGGGAAUAUUGGACAAUGGGCGCAAGCCUGAUCCAGCAAUACCGCGUGUGUGAAGAAGGCCUGCGGGGAGUAAAGCACUUUCAGUUGGGAAGAUAAUGACGUACCAACAGAAGAGCACCGCAUUUCG